rnacentral:tRNA from 1 species
UGUUGUGUGUAGCUCAGUCGGUAGAGCACAGUGCUAAUAACGCUGCGGUCCAGGGUUCGACCCCCUGUAUGACCA